ensembl:lncRNA
GUCAGAGGCACAUGGAUGUACGAAUGCCAUCAAAGGCCAGUCACGAUUAUACUGGUCACUCUGGGAAGGAUCCAAAAUAAGUAACUAUGAAACAAGAUGAUUAUAUCACAUGGAUAACUGAGAACUGAGUUGAAGCAGUUGGAGUGUAUAAUUCUUCAGAGAGGAUACGUACAUACCCAGCCUAACUCCAUUUUGCAGGAUCUUCUUUCAAGGUCUUCGUCUGGUGGCAAGUGUGUGAAUGGAGCUCCAGAGAGAGAGAGGUGUUUGUGAUUCAGAGCUUGACCUUAUGCCAGCUUCAAAGUGACAGAUUGAUGUCUUUGCUGGACAUCAGUGGAGCUUUUAUUGGACACACACCUUUUUUACCCUGGUAAACAACAACAACAAAAAAAUACUUUAUUUUAUUUCAAAUAUAUUUGCCUUUUCAAUAGUACAUUGCAAAUAUACUAACAAAGAAUUGUACCAUCUUUAAAUAUAUAUAAAGUAUAUAUAAUUUUUAAAAUAUAUAUUAACAUCAUGCUUUUACCUAUUUCCACAAUAAAACUUUAACACACUUUAAAAUAAUUGUAAUGUAGCAUAUUGUCUAAAAUAUAUAUUUUAGACAAUUAUACUUAAAGUGAAAGUUCCGUGUAAUUUUUAAAGUGUACUUACUUCAACAUUAUUUUAAAAUAUGUUUUAGGUAUAUUUUCAACUGUAUGCUCAAAAUUAUCAUUGUAACAAUGCAGUAAAAGCAUAUUUUAAAAAUACAUUAUUUAAUAUCCUGAAGUUGUGAUAUAUUUUAAGUUAAAUUUGAGUGUAAUUUUUAAGUUGACUCAUUCAUGCUAGGAAUUCACUUCUUGGACAUUUCUUUCAGAAAGUGUUACAGUGUACGACUAAUGUGUUAAAAGCCCAUUUUUAAAAUAUAUUUUUUAAAUAACGUGAGCGUAAUGUACAAAUGGCUACACUUAUAAUUGUGAUUUAAAUAUAUUUAUUUGGUCAUUUACAUUACAUGCAUGGAAUUUGGCAGACACCCUUAUCCAGAGCAACAUACAUUUUUAUUUCAUUUAUACAUCUGAGCAGUUGAGGGUUAAGGGCCUUGCUCAAGGGCCCAGUGGUGACAGCAUGGCAGUGCUGGGGCUUGAAUUCACGACCUUCCGAUCAUACAUAUGGUCAAAUAUAUAUGUAUAUAGUUAUAUAGUAGCAACACCUUACAAAGUCUAUUUAUUUAAAGAUGUGAGGCAUGAAAUGCUUGAAAAGCAGGCUGUCAAACACCAUUCCUCAGACUUAGAAGAAAAACAGACAGAAAAUAAAGCUUCUCCUGUAUGUGGUCUCUGGCACACGGCCGCCGUUAAUAACACUGCGGUGAUAAUUGCUGUUGUUCCUGUUUGGGCAACUUAGUUGGGUAGAAGCAAGACAGUGACCUUGAAAUUAACAUAAUACGAGAUAUUAUGUGAGUAUGCAGUUAUUUUUCCUGAAAUUCAACCAUUUAUUUUGCACACAUUUGAAGUGUGUCUGUGGGGUUUGUUAUGGACUGUGCAGCAGUUUAACACAGUAAGUGGUAAACAGCAUGGGUUAUUAUAAAUGAACAGAAGGAAAGCUGAUAUCAGCUACCUCUUGCUGUGGAAAUACACAACAACCAGAGUUCAGUGUUUGUAAGGGUGUGAGUGUGAAAUGUUUGUGUGAUAAAUUAUGAAUCACGAAAGGCAAAUGCUACUACAGAGCCAUUUACAUGUGUUUGUACAGUCCGGGAAACAAUAUAGUAGAAUUAGCUGAUGGCAGAAAAAGAAUAUGGAGAAGAUUCUGUGCCAAUCAUAGUGGGAGGAAAACAUGAAAUGCAAUACAUAAAUGUUACACGAGAACAAUAUGCCACACCGAAAAGCAAAACUUUAAUUUCAUUGCCCUUACAUCUCCUUAUUUUUCAGUCCAUGGCAAUCAGCAAGGGAUUUAUUUUAAGAAUUAAACACAAGUGAAUAUUAUCCACUAUUUAGAAAUCCACACCACUGCAUUGCAUUCCACUGUGCUUUACAGUUUAUGUCAAACACAAUACACAAACUGUAUUACUUUUCAUUAGUGACCUACUGAAAACGUUCCACACUGAAAAGCUAACUUGCUUUCAUGUUGAUUGAUCUGAAAAACAAUCAGCAUGGGAUUGCUUUUUAAGAUGCCGACUUUGGUCAGAAGUGUAAUUCCCUGUUGCAUUGAUUUCACUUUCAUGACUGCAUUGCACUCGUGCAACACUAAAAUACAAUCAAUGUCCAAUCACAGCUCUAAGCCAUACUCUGGGACAUGGCGGUAAUCACAGAAGGGGAGAAGCAUCCAAAAGUGUCAUUUUCCAGGAGCUACUGCUGUCCAUAUAAAGAAACACACUAUAAAGUUUCUUUAAGGCUUGUUGUUUCUGCAUCCUACAGUUCUUGCUGUCAUACAAAUUAAUAUAGCAUACUUGGAUCGAUUUGGAUAAUCUUAUUAACAUGGCUGUUAACAAUGCAACUUCCUCAUAGCUGUCACAGAGAGUAGGGCAUAGGUAAAAUCAUCACAAAAUAAGCCUCACUGAAAUAUUAUGGCUGACAUUAUACUAAAGAACAAAAACAGUUCUUGUGUUUGAGGACAAAAGCACCUACACACAUAUAGAUGGAAUGCAAGGAUAGAUGUCAAUUAGCAACCUGGAAAAAACAGUCAAAAUUUUGAUAUGGGAUUUCAAAUAAGCAUAAACCAUAAACGUAUUUCACCGAAAUGGUGUUGAAAUAUUUUUAUUUAGUUUUUAAUCUCAUCUAGGUUAUCUUCCUUCAAAGAUCAUGUUGUGUAAGGAGUCAGUUUAACAACUGACUAGCUUAGUGUGAUUUACCAUCUCAGUGAAUGUCAUGCUUUGAUCAAGUUAUUGGAUAGCUACAUGCCAUAUGUCAAGUCAAUGAAUUCGAUGUUGGACACCAUUUCCCAGAAUGAUUACUAAUCACAGACACCUGGACUCAGUCACCACCACAGCAUUAAAGCACACCCCAAACACCUACUCAUUGCACAGUAUUUGUUCAGCUCUGUUAUUCAUCUCACAUACCAAGACUUUGUUUCUUAUUUGCUAUUUCUGUUUACUGUUUACUUCAUCGUUUUAUGAUUACACUCUCGUUCCUUUAUAACCUGCUUGUACAUUGCCUGACCUUUUGCCCGUUUGUGGAUUCUGAUCUUUUGGAUUUGUUUGUACCGGCCAGUUUCUUUGAAUAAAUACAUUCACUGCAACUGUCGCCGACUCUGGCUUCUGACAUUAUAGCGAAAUGGACAUAAAUCUAAUCAGUUUGAUUUGUAAUCAGAUAUAAGCUGAUAAAAUGUCUGUGAUGCUCCUGCGCCAAAUAAUUUUUCUCCUAGCAUGCAGACUUUAAAGUGCUAGGAUUUUACGUGUGGUACACUCGAGAUACAUGCAAAAGAGAAACAUUUUUCAUUCAGUGGAUCCACCCUCAACGAAUAAAAAUUAAGUGCAAAACAUUCAGAAACAUUUAUGAAGGAAAAAUAAGAAACUUACAAUAACAGAGUUGCAUAAGUGCACACUUUCCUAAACUAAUUCUUUAAAAGCACCUUUUGAUUUUAUUAUACCACUCAGUCUUUUUGGGUAAUUGUCUGUCAGUAUGGCACAUCUGGACUUGGCAAUAUUUUCUCACUCUUUCUUGCAAAAACAUUCUAGAGCCAUCAAAUUGUAAGGACAUCUCCUGUGCACAGCCAGCUUCAGGUCACCC